rnacentral:tRNA from 1 species
GGAGGGAUGGCCGAGUGGUCUAAGGCGGUAGUCUUGAAAACUAUUGAGCGCAAGCUCCGGGAGUUCGAAUCUCUUUCCCUCCGCCA